AACCCAGGAGGUCAAGGUUGCAGUGAGCUAUCAUUGCACCACUGCACUCCAGCCUGGGCAACAGAGCAAGACCCUGUCUCUAAAACAAGAAACAAAGUGCACCAGUGUGUGGAUACCAGCUUCUCCUGGUGUGUGGACCUGACCGUACUUAGCCCCAUCGCUCUGGUGCCCUGCAGGGUCUACUUUGGAGCACCUGGAGCCCAAGAAGCUGCCCCUCACCUUUGUGAUCCCAGGGACCCCCUCCCUGAUCAUGAAGAAUGCAGACCCAAACCCACUGUGGUGCCUGAAGGAGCAGGGUCAGCCUCUGCCUCCCACAGCCUCUCUGAUGGUGAGGAUGUUAUCCCAGCAGCGAGAGCUGGGAGCAGAAUCAGGAGGAUGGGGGGUUUUCUCUGUGGGUAGCUCUGGGUUCCAGGGUGGAGCUCUUUUAACCUGCGCCCUCCCCUGUGAUUCUCCUUGGCCCCAGGCAAUGAAAGCAGCUUGCCCAAGGUCACCUGUCAGGUAGGGACAGAGAGGGAUCUGGGUUCUUUCUCAUCCAGCCGCAGCUCCCCCUCCCCCUGGCCCCUUCCCCCAGGCGAUAGAGGACCUGGCAGGCUGUGCCCCAUAGAAGAGUUCCCUUUCCUUCUGGUGAGGGAUGGAAACCAGCUUGGGGUGGGAGGGAUGAGGGUUCUGGGGGCUCUCCCAGCCCUGCCUCACAUUUGAAGGAUGGCAUCUGGGUGGCAGCAUGGUUUAGGCUCGACAAGACGGCCCCUAGGUUUAUAGCCCGGCCUCGGGCAGGAUACCGCCAUGCCACCUUCUCUUCUGCGCAUCCUAACCUGGCACCCUACUUAGUUAAAUGUCCUCAGGCCUCCUGCACCUUGGGCAUUGCCCCCACUCCCUGCACAGGCACAGCUCUCCUUGUCCUGGACUAAUCUUCAGAGAUUCUUGUUCAGCCCACAGCUUUGCUGGACAUCGCAGGCUGGGCCAGGCCCCCUGCCCAGCACUAACAUCUCUUUGUGAGUCUCAGCCAGACUGAGCUGCAGCUUCAGGGUCAGGGUAGGUGCUCACUUAAUUGAUGUGACCCAGGACAAGGGUGUUUAUUGACAGUGUCACAUCUGCUUAAGCUCUUGGCGUCUGUGGUUUCUUUGGGGGCAAGAUACUCCUCUGUCCCAUGCUUAGGCGCCCACAUGUGGCCACAGUGCCUUUCCUACCACCAUCCCUACUGCAGGCCGGUGUCCAGGCACCCGUGGCUCCAGGCAGAAGGCUGAGUGCAGAGCCAGGCCUGGGCAGAUGUUCUGCAGGGGCUGCAGGAGCUGAGAGCCCUGACCAUGCAGCCCGUGGCCAUCCAUUCCCCUUCACUGUGGCUGGCCCCUCAUCCACCAUCCUUCCAGGGGCUAGGCCUGGGGCCAAACUGACUUUUGCCUGCCCCUGGUUCCCCUUCUGCCUGCCAGGUUCUUGGCUGAGCAUGAUGGUCUUGUCCAUUUCCUUGAUUAUCCUCAAUCAGAGGUUUAUAGAGCCACUUGGGGACAUCACAUCUCCUGUCUACCAGGUCCUCACCAGAGACUGGACUGCCUUGGGCCGGGCCUAUGAUAGUCAGGGGUCACACUCGCCUGUUGGGACCUAGCUUCAGCGGCUUCAAUCUGGGCAAUGGCCUGAUGGGCGGCUGCCCCUUCUCAUCUGCUUUGGGGAGGCAGGAGAGGAAGGUCAAGCAGGAGAUCUGCUUCCUGCCCACCUGAGGCUGGUUGGAAGUAGGGCACCCACCUGUGCCUGUCUCACCUUGCUGUAGGUGCAGUGGAGGCUGAACCCCUCUCCUGAUCUCCUGCAGGUGCGGAUUCCAGGUUUACAGUAGGUGUUGGAGUGGGCUCCAGAGCUCUCCUGGCCCUAGGAAACCCUGGGCUCCAAGAGUCCAUGGCCUAGCCAGAUUGUUUCCCACACUGUCACCCCCCCAAACAUGGGGGUGCAUGCUCUGUGCCCUGGGUGGGACAUUGGAAGGAGUUCCACCUUCCAGGUUUGGAUCACAGUAAAGCCUCUGCCAUGGGCAUGUGCUGGCCGAGACAGAUGGGGUUGAACCAGCCCUGUCAUGUUGGCCUUGGGCAAGUCACCUGUGCCUUGCUUCCCUUUCCCCAGCAGCUGGACAGGGAUAAUAGCACCUAAUUCACCCAUACUCAGGUGCUCACUUGUUAGCAGGAACUGAGUCCUGGAGAAGGUGCAGGCAGAGCCAUCGAGGCAGCACUGUAGCUGGACCUGGUCUGAGUCCCAGCUCCUGGCUGUGAGAUGUAUCUCUCCCUCUGUUUAUUCAUCUGAAGGAUAGGGCUGUGCUGUUCUGGGGUCACUGUGACAAUGCAGCUGGCCUGUGUGCGUUGGUGGUGGCCUCCUGAGAUGGUUUGAGGUGGACUAGAGGUGUGUCUUGAAUCUCCCCUCACCCCCUUGAGGAAGAACCACUUCAGGAAGACUGAUGUGUCUGUAUGAAGGAAACCAGGUUCCCCACCCCUCAGCUGUCCUCUGUCCCUUCCCAGCCCCCUCUGCUGUCCUGCAGGCUCUGGCAGUGGCCAUCCAGCUUGGUGGCCAUCUAGCUGGUCCACACUUCCAGGUGGACCCUCUCUCCUCACAUGGUUCAUGUGUCAUUUUGUCACCUGCAGACAGGCCACGCUAGCCACAGGGCCUCCUUUCCCUGGUACCCAGCCCCCACCACUAGGUAUGUGCCCCCUCCCUAAAGCCCACUGUGUUCACCAGCUAUAUUUGAACUCUGUCUCUGUGCAAGGCCUCAUGGAAAGCCUGAAACAGUCUGGCUUGUAGAGGGCCAGGAGAUCAAAGCUUGAAGACAGAGUGACGGUCUCCCAGAGUCCACUUAGCCUCAGCCUCAGUGCUGCAUCCAUGCUGUUUCUGGCUUCAGUGGGUCAAUUCUCUCCCAUAACAUCUAAGUACAGAGGAACCUGGUGCCGGCCGCAGUCAACCCCGAUGUGAUGACCUUUCUACCCACCCUCUUUGAUGUCUUGGUGCUGGCUGCUGUCUUUGGCGGCCAGGUAAGCUCAUGGUCUGUGCUCCUGGGGUCCCCUCACUGGGCCUGCCCACUGCCUGCAGGUAGGGGAGCCUACAGGCCAGGACUGUCCUUGGCUUCCCCUUGCAGGUCAUGGGUUCAAAGACCAUUCCUGGGUUCCACCACCACCAAGCCUCAACGGUGUCCUGAUGGGCACAGGAGCUGCUGGGGCUUUCUAGGUUAAGACCCUUGCCUAUCCCAGCAUUCCCCCUUGCAGUACGGGGGCUGCAGGGGUCAGCCUCAGUCUCUGCCCUGGGAGCCUGCCUUACCUUGCCCGGGCAUCCCCACACCUCCCCUGGAAGACCCCCCACACCCAGUGGCUCUGAUCCACUGUAGAGCAGCCAGGGCCCCCGUUGCUCACACCCUCUGGCCUGAGGCUGACUGGCAUUGUGGCUGGGUUUGGGGGUCAGGGUUGGGGGUGGGCCUUGCCCUCAGCAGCUCCCAUUCCCACUCUGACCCCUUUUCAAUCUUCCUCCUCUUGUGGGUUCUAUCCUUGGACCCUCCCAGCUCCUCACACCGGAUGACUUUCUAAAUAUCCAGAAAUCACUUUUUAAAAUACCAGCUUCGGGGCUAGGAGUGCCUAGAGCAGACCAAGAAGGCUAUGGCCAGGCGGGGGCCCUGCCUCCCAGACUUCUGCCCUCAACCCCAGACCCCAGGUCUGAGCCCUGGGCCACCCAGGGCUACCCUGGACCCACCAGAAUUCCUCCACCACCUCUUGGUCAAAGUUUUGUAGAGGUCUGAGGACAAGGGUCAGCUGGGGGAUCAGGAGAGGAUGAAGAGGGUCACAGCUCUAACAAAGUCUUGUCCAGUCAUCCCCCAUCUUCCCGAGGCCUCUUCCCUGAUCCCCCACUUCAUCCCGCCACUUCACCCAUCUCAUCAGCUGCCCCUGAAGUGCCCAGAAGUCAGGGCUGGUUUUGUCCUCCAAGGCCGUGUUGUAGUGCUGGCCCAGGAUCUGCAGCCAAACUUCAUACAGCACCAGCUCCGCCUUCUCCCCUAGAGAGAUGGGGAUGGAGGUGGCAUCAGCCUGCACUCCCUCUCCUGGAAGCCGUGGGGUGGGAUAUGCACCCAAGCUCUAAUGCUCCAUCCAGGGGUCAGCUGCUGCUGGUCUAAAAACGAGAUUUCUUGCUGCCUGUUUUUGUGUGACCCAUGAGCUAAGAAUGGCUUUUACAUGUUUAAAUGGUUGAAAACAUGGAAAGUAGAAUCUUAUCUUGUGACACAUGAGAAGUACAUGACAUGCAAACUUCCACAUCCAUAAAGAAAGGUUUCUGGGAACGUG